rfam:Mycobacterium tuberculosis H37Rv complete genome.
UGAGUUGGCUGGGCGGCCGCGGCUCGCGUAGGGCUUGUGUGGAUUCACGAGGUUCAGCGUCGAGUCGAGGAAAGUCCGGACUUCACAGAGCAGGGUGAUUGCUAACGGCAAUCCGAGGUGACUCGCGGGAAAGUGCCACAGAAAACAGACCGCCAUCCUCGUGGUGGCAAGGGUGAAACGGUGCGGUAAGAGCGCACCAGCAUUCCGGGUGACCGGGGUGGCUAGGCAAACCCCACCCGAAGCAAGGCCAAGAAGGCCGCACCGAAAGUGCGGCCGCGCAGGCGCUUGAGGGUUGCUCGCCCGAGCCUGCGGGUAGGCCGCUCGAGGCACCCGGUAACGGUGUGUCCAGAUGGAUGGUCGCCGCCGUGCCGCCGUUAGCUUGGCUGUGGCGGCGCGGAACAGAAUCCGGCUUACAGGCCAACUCGUCCG